UACGAAGGGUGCAAGCGUUACUCGGAAUUACUGGGCGUAAAGCGUGCGUAGGUGGUUUUUUAAGUCCGUUGUGAAAGCCCUGGGCUCAACCUGGGAAUGGCAGUGGAUACUGGAAAGCUAGAGUGCGGUAGAGGGUAGUGGAAUUCCCGGUGUAGCAGUGAAAUGCGUAGAGAUCGGGAGGAACACCCGUAGCGAAGGCGGCACUCUGGGCCGGAACUGACGCUGAGGAGCGAAAGCGUGGGUAGCAAACAGG
rnacentral:rRNA from 1 species